rnacentral:lncRNA from 1 species
GGGAAGUGGAAACCGGGCGACCGGCAUCUUGGCAGCGGGUUUCUGUUACGUGGGCUUUCUCGUCAGGUGAGGCCCGGUCACAGCGAACUGCGUAGGGCCGUGUGGCCUGGGGUAGCGAGUUCCCGUCUCUGAGCUGCGGAGUCUUCGUCUGCUACAAACGAAGCGCAGUCUCGUGGGGCAGAGGCGAGGCUCCUAGCGCCCGGUUCCUGCUAGUUGUCACGCGUGUCCCCCGCCGAGCGCCGUUGCCCUCCAGCACCCCGCUGUCACCCGGGGCCCCUGCGCCGCACAGUGAAGCCGCCCGCGUCCCCGCCCUGCCCCACUUCUGUUAGUGGCGUCCUCAGCGGCCACCGCCGCGUCCCCGCCUCCGGGCUUGCGGGGGCCCCAUGUGGGCCGCGCGCCCCAGCUGCAUCCGCGCCGUCCCGCUAUGAGGUCUUAGGACACGCUCGGACGGCCACCAGGACCGUUCUUGAUGACCUCGCUGUCCUCCCGCGGUCGCUGUGGCCACGAAGCACGGAGCCAGUUUGAAGGCACCCAGCUGGCCAGCUCGGGCUGGUUUCUUCCCAGGCCUCUCUGGUUGGCUUGUCCAUGGCCCCUGUGUUAGGACCUGCUCUUGUCCUAACACCAGUCUGCUGCAUUAGGGCGACUCUAGUGACCUCUUGUUAAUUUCCUCCUUACGGCUUUGUCUCUGGAUAUGGUUGCAUGCUGAGACCGCGAAGUUAGGGCUCCAACGUAUGAAUGGGAGCUGGACGACACAAUUCAGCCCUUAAAGGCAUACAGGUGUUGUGUACAAAUCAUAUUCCAAAAUGUUUUGGAAAGUUUGAAAUUAUUUCCAAAUUUUAAAACAUAAAAAAUCUGUGCAAGUAUUUAUUUUGUUUAUAGAUUUAUUGUCGUUGUCCAAUAUCAUAUUGUCUUAAUUACUAUUAUAGGAAUAAUAUUAUCUUGGGUCGUCUCUACAUUCCUCUCUGUAUUUUAAAAUGAUUUGAGAUGACUGAUAUGAAGGAAGAGAUUUAGACUUACAUGUCCCCAGAAACAGGAGGCAUAGCAUGCUACACAAGGCCACCUGGGGAAGCACCCGAGUCAGGAGGCAGAAGGGUGAGGAGAGAUGAGGAAAGGAAGCUGGCAGGUUAGCCUUGGCUAGUUAAGGAGAGCUCUAGAGCACUGGGGCAGGAACCUGGCCUUAGAGAGAGAGUGGCAGCCCUGAGGGUAAGAGCUCCAGAAAGGAGGUAGUCUGGGUGUGCACUGGGAUGGGGUAGUUUUCAUAUGAAAACCGGACCUUCUAGGAUUUGGCCAAGCCCAGGAGGGGCAGCUGCUCCUUUGUUAGCAAGGCCCCAGAUGUCAGAGCACCAGAAAAUACAGAAAGUUAAAGCCUUGGGGAGUAACACAUGCUGUUUAUCCAUUCAUUUCUUGAUAGAUGGUUGCGUUGUUUCCACCUUUUGGCUGCAGUCAAUAAUACCACUAUGAACACCAGCUCACAAGUAUCUCUGUAUUACUAAGUGGAAUCGCUGGGUCCUGUAAUCCUAAAUGUUCCCCUUUGAGGACCCACUAGACAGUUCUCUACAGCAGCCGUAUCCCUUCACAUUCCCACCAGCAACCGAUGAGGGUUCCAAUUUCACUACUGUCUUUCAGUUUGGGCUUUGAGAUUUUGGUUAGUAUGAAGUGGUAUUUCAGUGUGGUUUGAUUUGCAUUCCGCAAUGACUAAUGAUGCUGAACAUCUCUCUUUUCAUUUGCUUAUUGGUCAUUUAAAUGUCUAUUCAAGUCUUUUAUCCAUUUUUAAAUGAGGCUGUUUGUCCUUUUGCUAAGUUGCAGGAGUUGUUUAUAUAAUCUGGAUAUUAAAUCCUUAUCAACUAUAUAAUUUGUAAACAUUUUCUUCCAUUCUUUUCACUCUCCAGUUUUUUUUUUUUUUUGGUCCCAGGGAUUGAACCCAGGGGUGCUUAAUCACUGAGCCACAUCCACAGCCUGUUUUUAAGUAUUAGAGACAGGGUCUCACUGAGUUGCAUAAGGCCUUAAUAAGCUGCUGAGGCUAGCUUUGAACUCACCAUCCUCCUGCCUCAGUUUCUCGAGCUACUGGGAUCACAGGUGUGUGCCACUGCACCUGGCUCCCUCUCCUAGUUUUUAUGUCCAUGAAGUGUAUUGAUUUUUUAAAAUUCCUAAUCCAAUUAGGCAUUGCUAGCAUAUAAUAUAGAUAUGUGAUUGAUUUUGUAUGCUGAUUUUAUAUCCCAUGAUUGAUAAAUUCAUUAAUUUUAAUUAAUAAGCUUUGUACUUUCAGACUUACCCAGUCUUAUCAUCUGCAAAUAAUAACUUUUAUUUUUUAUUUUAUAAUCCUUAUAUUUUUAAAAAGCCUCGUUGCACUAGAUCUCCAGCACAGUGUGAGAGGUGAUAGGGCAGACCCCAUUCUCUCCUCAGCUGCUUCAAAUAUUUCACCACAUGAUAUGUUGUUUCCUUUGGGGUAUAGGAGUUUUUGUUUGAUGUUUUUAUAGAUAUCUCUCAUCAAAUUCAGAAAGUUCCCUUCCAGUCUUAGUUUACUUAGAAUUUUUAUUUAUAACUGGGCAUGGUGGUGCACGCCUGUAAUAUCAGUUAUUUGGGACCCUGAGGCAGGAGUAUUGCAAGUUUAGGGCCAGCCUCAGCAACAUAGAGAGACCCUGUCUAAAAAAAAAAAAAAAGUGCUUGGAUGUGGCUCAGUGGUAAAGUGCCUUUGGGUUUGAUCCCUAGUACCAAAAAAAAAAAUUGUAAAAACUGUUUGAAUUUUACCGAUUUUUCUACAUUUGCUGAAAUGACCCAAUGUUUUUUCUUCUUCAUUCUGUUAAUGUGAUAAUUUUUUAUCAUUCAGAUGACUUUGAAUUCCUAGAAUAACUAUUUUAUAUACCACUGGAUUAAAUUAGCUAAUAUUGUUUUGGCCACUUGUCCGUUUAUUGGUCCCAAAGUCUUGUUAGACGCUCAGCCAUGCUCACACAUUCAUGUUGUGCCUAUAGCUGCUUCUGCAUCACAGUGGCAGAGCUGAGUUGUCACAGAGAUCGAAUGACCUACAAGGACAAAAAUUUUACUCUCAGGUCCCUUUACAGAAAAGGUUUAAGUCCUAGGUUUUCUCAUGGGAGAGACUGACCAGCAUUUUCCCUUUUUGUAACAUCCUUAUCAAGUUUUAGUACUGAGGUUAUCCUCACCGCACAGGGCACACUGAGGAGUGCUUUCUUUUUUUUUUUUUUUUUUUGUUCUCUCAGUUUUUGUAAUACUGUGUUAAUUUGUUUUCUUUAAAUGUUUAGAAAUUUUGACUGGCAAAGGCAUUUGGUCCUGGGGUCUUCUUUGUAUGAAGUGCCGAAAAAUUGAUUCAAGUUUUGUUUGUGUCUCCUUGUGUCUCCCUGGAUAACUUGUGCUUUCCAGAGAAUCUGUCCACUUCAUCUCAGUUGUCAAGCAUGUUGGCCUAACACUGUUUUCAACACCCUCUUAGCACCAGGUCUGGUGGAUCUGGGUGACCAACUGUUCUGUUUGCCAGGAAAUGAAGGGUUUCCUAGUACAUAGUCUUUAGUGCCAAAACCAGGACUGUCAGUCACCCUGGAUCUGCAGUGACAUCGCUUCCUUCCUUCCUGUUAAUGGUUUGUCUGUAGAUUUUCAAAUAGAUCUCCUACUCAUUUUCCUCUCAUUGAUUUUUUGCUCUUUUUUACUUCCUUAUUUCUUUUGGGCAUAAUCUGCUCUUCUCUUCCUGCCAUUAUGAUAUGAAUAUUGAAAUCACUGACUUUCAGCCUUUUUUCUUUUCUAAGUCAGGUGUUCAAAGCUAUAAAGGACCCCCUACCCCACGCACUGUUGUGGCUGCAUUGUCAUAGACUGAUCUGGAGCAUUCAGUUAAAAACCUUGUUUUAAUUUCCAUCUUUUUGGCCUAUGGCUGUAUAGAACUGUCUUAAUUUAUACACAUUUGGGGGCUUUUCCGGCCAUAUUUUUGUUGUCAAUUUUUUAGCUCAUGUCCAUUGUGGUCAGAGAACUUUAAGAUUUUAUCUGCUGAAAUUUGUUGAGACUCAUUUAUGGUUCACCAUAUGAUCAGUUCUAGGAACUACUUUACGUGCACUUGAAAAUAGUGUGCAUUUUGGAGUUGUCAAGUUGUUGGGUUUUCAAGUUAGGUCAGGUUUGUACAGCUGUUGAAAUUCUCCAUCUCUUCUUUCUGUUGUUGUUCCUGUUCGUUCUUUUCCAGAGAGAGGACACAAUAAAAGUUGUUUAGUUGUGAAUCUGCUGCCAAGGAAUCAAUUCAGUUUUUAUUCAUAUGAAAAUGCAUUUAUUCACUGUCCUUGUUAAAAGAUGUUUUUGCUGAAUAUAGACUCUAGGUUGGCAGUUAUUCUCAUUCAGCAUUUUAAUGAUGCUGUUUAGUUAUAGCUGGCUUUCGUCCUUGAGUUUGCCAAGUCUUCUGUCUUCGGAAGGAAUGUGUCUUUCUUUUCUCUGGAGUUUUAAAGGUGGGCCUAUGUGUGGUUUUGUCUUUAUUUUGCUUGGGUUUGAAUAUGUGGCCUCAUGUCUUUCAUCAGUUUUAGAAAAUUCUUGACCAUUAUCUCUUCAAAUGUUGCUUCUGUCUCAUAUUCUCCUCUUCUGUGACUGUCAGUUAUAAGGACUAUUCACAUAACGUUGGAACAGUUGUGUUUAAAAAAAAAAAUCCUGUGGCUAUUUAUAAUCUCAAGGGUUAUCUCCACUGUAUUUUUUAGCUUUUUUUAAAUUUUAUUUUUUAGUUAUAGUUAGAUGCAAUACCUUGAUUUUAUUUAUUUUUUUUAUGGUGCUGAGGAUCAUACCGAGGGCCUUGCACGUGCUAGGCGAGCACUCUACCACUGAGCCACAACCCCAGCCCCACUAUAUUGUUUUUUAAAGUUCACUUUAGAAGAGCUAUUUAAAAUAACAUCUAAUAUGUCCAACAUCAGAAAAAAAAAUAAUGACAUGGCACUAGGAAUUCACUCAGUCUGUGUUAAAUCAGUCCCUUCCUCCCCCUCUGUCCUUCUUCUGUCUCCUCCGCAAGGUGUACUCCAAUUCAUAUCCAGAUAGUUAAAAUAAAUACACAAACAAAAAAAGUGAGGGUUAUUUGUUGUUCAGAAUAAAGUAAGUAUGAGAACAGGCCUUUAUGUGGGAGUCUUUGAAAGGAUUCUAGUUUUAGCAGUAUUCUUCUGAGAGAAUUUUAGAUGAAAACUGAUAAUCUGGCUAUGUGAGCAAACAAUAUUUUAGUAGGGACUUAGUGUCUUUUGAACUGACCUGAAAUCAGCAGGGAAGCAGAGCAGUGUACAUCUGGGCCAGUGUAGCUACCAAUCAGGAAACUCGAAAUCCUUCCUUAUUUCUUUGAAUCCAUGUACAGUAGUCCUCCCUGCUUUCUCUGAUUUCAGUUACAUUAGGGUCAACCAUGGUCCCAAAAUAUUACAUGGAAAAUAUCAGAAAUAAACAAUUCAUGAAUUUUAAACUGCACCCUAUUCUGGGUAGGGUUAUGAAAUCAUGUGCCAUCCUGCCCCACCCUGUCCAGGAUGUGAAUCAUCUUGUCCAGGGUAUCCACACUGUAUAUACCAUCCACCCGUUAGCCAACUACAUACCGGUCUCGGUUAUCAGAUUAACAGUCUCUCAGUGCUUGUGUCCAGCUAACCUUCACAUAGUAGCCUAACACUACAUCACAGCACCUACGUCAUUCACUUCAUCACAGGCAUAGUAAGAACAAGGAUAAGGACAGUACAAUAAGGUGUUCUGAGCCAGGUGCACCCCUGUAAUCCCAGCUACUCCAAGGCUAAGGCAGGAGGAUCCCAAGUUCAAGGCCAGCCUGGGCAGCUAAGCAUGACCCUGUCUCAAUAUUUUUAUAAAAGGUUGAGGUGCAGCUCAGGGCUAGAGUGCUUCCCUAGCGUGUGCAAGACCCUGGGUUCAAUUCCCAGUAUCAUUAAAAAAUUAAAGAUACUCUGAGACUGAGAGCAUACUUACAUAACUUUUAUAAUUAUUCUGUUUUAUUAUUAGUGAUUGUCAUUAAUUUCUUUUUUUUUUUUUUAUUUUUUAGGUGUAGAUGGACACAACACAAUGCCUUUAUUUUUAUGUGGUGCUGAGGAUUGAACCCAGGUCCCACCCGUGCUAGGCGAGCGCUCUACCGCUGAGCCACAAUCCCAGCCCCAUGUCAUUAAUUUCUUUACUGUGUAUAUUUUUUAAAUUGAACUUUUCCCAUGGGUACAUAUGUUAGGGAAAAAAAGAAAACUAUAGGCACAUAUAGGGUUCAGUCCAAUCCUCAGUUUCCAGAAUCACUGGGGGUCUUAAGAUGCAACCCCAGAGUGAAAAGGCAGAUGACUGUAUUCAAAGGACUGACUAGACAAGGCUGUCACAAGGGUUACCACGGAUGCUUUUGUGUGUUUGAAGAGCGUCUUCACUCUGAAGGAUUUCCUUGCUGCUGGGAAUUUCUCACUUCCAUGAGAAGAGUUAGUUUUUGUUUUUGUUUUUGUUUUUACAAGAUCCUAAAUCCAUCUUACUUGUAUCCUGAUGAAACCAUAAUCUCUAUUAAAGUAGGUUUGAUCUUUGUUCAAACAGCCCAGAGUUCUGUAAUGUGACAGUGGCUGCAAGGGACAGUCUUCAGGGAUUGUUGCUUUGAAGGAACAGCUUUCGCAGUGCCUUGGGUGCCCUGCAGUGGGUCUGCUUUCCCAGGGAACCCUGGAUCUUGGGGGUGCUUCCUGUCCUCUCCAGGAUACCCAUCUGCAUCACUUAAAUGAGCCAAGUGAGUCACUUGCUUCCUGAACACAAUCUCCACUCCUCCUACCCACUGCAUAGAUCUGCUGCCCAAGACCUUUGAUGAUCUUGAAAAGCAACUGUGAGGAACAGGAGAAAAUAUAUUUACACUUAGGAUUGCCAGCAGACGGCCCAUUCCCUCAUGGAUGGAGACAAAGCUGGGGUCUUGGAGAAGUGCAUGGCAGUGACCCUCUGUUCACCCCGUGGGGCUGAGUCCUGAGUGGCUUUUCACCACAGUUCUGUGCACCUGGAGAUGGGGCAAUAAGGUGAAGCAUGUGACUAUCAGUCAUCACUGCUGAUGCUCCAAACAGAGGUUAUGCCUGUGUGUGUGAGCAGCAGGGACUGACUGACCUGAGACCUGAGGGACCAGCCUCCCCCACAUCUGUUAAUAAAAAGAGACAGAAGAGCAAGCACUGGCCAGGUGCACGCUGCCCAGAGCGCCUGUGGGAAUUCUGACUGCCGUUCCUUCUGCUGCCUCAUAAGAGCUGCCUAGCUAUCCUCAGGGGAAGAGAAAUUAAAUAAAAAUAAAUGAGGUAUAAGUAGCUGUCUUGGAAAAGCUAUUGUCGUUAUUUUUUC